rnacentral:rRNA from 1 species
UACGGGGGGGGGCAAGCGUUGUUCGGAAUUACUAGGCGUAAAGGGCGCGUAGGUGGCCUGUUAAGUCGAACGUGAAAUCCCCGGGCUCAACCCGGGAACUGCGUCCGAGACUGGCAGGCUUGAAUCCGGGAGAGGGAUGUGGAAUUCCAGGUGUAGCGGUGAAAUGCGUAGAUAUUGGGAGGAACACCAGUGGCGAAGGCGGCUCACUGGACCGGAACUGACGCUGAGGCGCGAAAGCGUGGGGAGCAAACAGG